rnacentral:tRNA from 1 species
GGCCCCAUCGUCUAGUGGACUAGGACGCGGCCCUUUCAAGGCUGAGAUCGCGGGUUCGAAUCCCGCUGGGGCUACCA